GAUGAACGCUGGCGGCGUGCCUAAUACAUGCAAGUCGAGCGAACGGACGAGAAUCUUGCUUCUCUGGUGUUAGCGGCGGACGGGUGAGUAACACGUGGAUAACCUACCUAUAAGACUGGGAUAACUUCGGGAAACCGGAGCUAAUACCGGAUAAUAUUUUGAACCGCAUGGUUCAAAAGUGAAAGACGGUCUUGCUGUCACUUAUAGAUGGAUCCGCGCUGCAUUAGCUAGUUGGUAAGGUAACGGCUUACCAAGGCAACGAUGCAUAGCCGACCUGAGAGGGUGAUCGGCCACACUGGAACUGAGACACGGUCCAGACUCCUACGGGAGGCAGCAGUAGGGAAUCUUCCGCAAUGGGCGAAAGCCUGACGGAGCAACGCCGCGUGAGUGAUGAAGGUCUUCGGAUCGUAAAACUCUGUUAUUAGGGAAGAACAUAUGUGUAAGUAACUGUGCACAUCUUGACGGUACCUAAUAAGAAAGCCACGGCUAACUACGUG
rnacentral:rRNA from 1 species